GAUGAACGCUAGCGGCAGGCCUAAUACAUGCAAGUCAAGGGGGCAGCAAUGUCACCGGCGGACGGGUGCGUAACGCGUACACAACAUGCCUUUGAGCGGGGGAUAGCGGCGGGAAACUGCCGGUAAUACCCCAUAACACUGCGUCUUGGCAUCAAGGUGCAGUUAAAGUUCCGGCGCUCAGAGAUUGGUGUGCGUCUGAUUAGCUAGUUGGCGGGGUAACGGCCCACCAAGGCGACGAUCAGUAGGGGGUGUGAGAGCAUGGCCCCCCACAUGGGUACUGAGACACGGACCCAACUCCUACGGGAGGCAGCAGUAAGGAAUAUUGGACAAUGGAGGCAACUCUGAUCCAGCCAUGCCGCGUGAAGGAUGAAGGCGCUCAGCGUUGUAAACUUCUUUUGAGUGGGAACAAAAAACGGGACUUGUCCCGGACUGAGGGUACCACUAGAAUAAGCACCGGCUAACUCCGUG
rnacentral:rRNA from 1 species